UACGUAGGUGGCAAGCGUUAUCCGGAAUUACUGGGUGUAAAGGGCGCGCAGGCGGCCUUGCAAGUCGGAUGUGAAAGAUCAAGGCUCAACCUUGACAGGUCAUCCGAAACUGUAAGACUUGAGUGUCAGAGGGGAAAGUGGAAUUCCUAGUGGAGCGGUAAAAUGCGCAGAUAUUAGGAGGAACACCGGUGGCGAAGGCGACUUUCUGGCUGACAACUGACGCUGAGGCGCGAAAAGCGUGGGGAGCAAACCAGGAUUAGAUACCCU
rnacentral:rRNA from 1 species